AUUAAGACAAUUAAUUCUAAUCUGGUAAUAUAUGUUGGAUGAUCGUGUUUAAUUUCCUAGUCGAUGAGAAAACUAUGGAAUGAACGGUGCAAUGGGUCCCAUGGGUGAAAUAAACAUGGAAACGAUAUGAUUAUCAGCAGUAAAUUAUUGGUUGAAAGAGAACACAUGGGCUGUCUUGUUUGAGGAGAACACCCGUUAAUCAUUGGUCAAGAAUGUUCAGAUAGGGUACAGGUCUGAAACCACCGAGUAUAGGUUUUUCAACUCCGCAGAAGCAAGAUCCAACGGUGGGGUGGGUCGGGUCCCAUUAUCAAUCAACUGUUGUCUGAGAAGUUGCCACGUGUCGCUCAUCCUGAUCUGUUUCAGUACUAUUGCCCCAACCGAAUCAUAAUCUCGCCCUCGCUUGCUCGCUUGGUGUAAUCUCUCCUCUGUCUAAAGUCUGAACCUGGCCAAGAACCUAGCCUCUCUUGUUCUAUAUUAUAUCUCUUCUAUUUUCUGUUUCAACUUUCAUUUCUCACUUACAUUAUAAUUUAUUUUCUAGAGAGAGAAAACCUAAAGAGUUAGGAGAUAGAAAUAGAAUAUUGUCCUCUUUUUUUCCCUCUCUUAGCUCUGUUUUGUAACUUGUGAGGCAGCUCUGUUUUGUAACUUGUGAGGCAGAAAACAAAUAUAGCUACGAUCUUCAUCAUUCAAAGGCUUCUAAAUUUGUAUGACAUGGAAGAUAAUUUCCACAUGUCCACUAGUAAAAGAUCAAUCAGACCAGAAGAUGAACUAGUGGAGCUACUUUGAGAGAUGGCCAAGUGGUUUUACAAAGCCAAGUACGAAGAGAAUCAUCAGUCCAAGUCCAAAACUCCAAACAUGAUCUAGCCCUACGAAAACCCAACACUACUUUUCUUGACUACCAAGAAACAGUACCCACACACUAUAACACUCUUCAAGAAGAUCAAAAAACCGUGUCCUGGAUCCAAUACCCUCCUGAAGACGUAGUUGACCCCUUUGAAUCCGAGUUCUCCUCCCAAUUCUUCGUUUCUUUCGACCACCUUGAUGGUCCACCUAAAGACAUUUCUAAACUAAGAAAGAUUGAAGUUUGUAAAGCUUUAUUGAUGCAAAAUAUGAAUAGCUCAAAGGAGCUUUAUUAUGCAAAUGAAAGUAAAGAAACUAGAAGAGAUUGAGUUUGUCACCAAGAACAAAGAGAUUUACGAAAUGAUAUUGAUAUUCCAAAAGUUGAGGUUUUCAUUACAUAGCAUGACUAUUUAUAUUGGAACUCAUGUGGCAAACCCUAGUUACAUGGGCUAAUGGACUUCUCACAAGAUAUAAAAUGGGCUUUCAAUUGGAUCU